AGAGAGUGACUAUCGGACUUAAAAGUGUUAGUGAUAACAUUCAGCCACUAAUGGGACGUGAAUGCAAUGAUUAAUUCACAAUGGAAAUACUAAGUAGCUUACUUAGGGCAGUACAGUAUGCUGGGCGCUGUAGAAAUCAGCCAUUUUUACUUUUAUUUAUUUUUUCUCCCACAAACUGGCAACUACUAAUGGCCUUAUACUAUUGGCUCACACACCUUGUCAGAAUUUGGGACCAACCAGUAAUUCUUCCACAAAGAUAAACAAAAGCAAAAAUCUACAGUGUACAGAACCAAGUGAUGGAGACACCAUUCAACCUGUUACAGGACACUGUGCCAUCAAGAUCAUUUUGAAGCUGUUAUUCUAAGAUGCACAGAUGUUUAUCUGUGUCUUCAGGAAAUGACCCAAAUAUUUCAGCUUCAUCUGAGCUGGAAGAUCCCAGAGAGGAAACUGUUCCACAGAUCCUCCCCUAUCUCUGAAGGCUUUUCAUUUGGAGGUUUCGGACAGCGAAAACUAGAGGAAACAUGCACAAGAUGUCACAAAGCGAACUGGCCACAACAUAAUGAAGACAGCACUGAUUGGCCUUCAAACACACAGAAGCGAAGCUACAAACAGGUUGUGCUCAGAAAGGCACUGCGACAGAGGAAGGAAGUAAGAUUGUAGAUUAAACAUCCUUCGACAACAAGUCCCAACAUGGUGAAUCCUAUCAGCAGCAGAAGAAACUUUUGGCCUACUCUCGCCCACCACGGUUUCUUUCCGCCAUGCACAGAGUCGUAGUUGGCCUGGCUGUCG